rnacentral:rRNA from 1 species
AUGUUGAUGGCGCCUCACCAUGCAAGGUCGUCGACGUCGGCGACGGUGCUGAUGGUGCUCGUGGCCGCGGCGGUCGUCGUAGGCGGCGCGGCGGCGGCGGCGUCGGGGAAGAAGAAGCCGGUGGUGCCGGCGGUGAUCGUGUUCGGGGACUCGACGGUGGACACGGGCAACAACAACGUGAUCGGCACGGUGCUGAAGAGCAACUUCCCGCCGUACGGGCGCGACCUGCAGGGCGGCGCCACGGGCCGGUUCUGCAACGGGCGGCUGCCGCCCGACUUCGUCUCCGAGGCGCUCGGCCUGCCGCCGCUCGUGCCGGCGUACCUCGACCCGGCAUACGGCAUCGAGGACUUCGCCACCGGCGUCGUCUUCGCCUCCGCCGGCUCCGGCCUCGACAACGCCACCGCGAGCGUCCUGGCAGUGAUACCGAUGUGGAAGGAGGUGGAGUACUUCAAGGAGUACCAGCGCCGGCUGGCGAAGCACGCCGGGCGCGCCCGUGCCAGGCACAUCGUGGCCAACGCGGUGUACGUCGUCAGCGUGGGCACCAACGACUUCCUGGAGAACUACUACCUGCUGGUCACCGGGCGGUUCCUGCAGUUCACGGUGGCCGAGUACCAGGACUUCCUGGUGGCGCGCGCCGCGGAGUUCCUCACGGCCAUCUACCGCCUCGGCGCGCGCCGGGUUACCUUCGCGGGGCUCUCCGCCAUCGGCUGCGUGCCGCUGGAGCGCACGCUCAACCUGCUCGGCGGCGGCGGCUGCAACGAGGAGUACAACCAGGUGGCCCGGGACUACAACGUCAAGGUCAAGGCCAUGAUCGCCAGGCUCCGGGCGGAGCUCCGCGGGUACAGGCUCGCCUACAUCAACGUCUACGACGACAUGGUCGACCUCAUCGAGCACCCCGAGAAGCUCGGGCUGGAGAACGUCUCGGAGGGGUGCUGCGCCACCGGGAAGGUGGAGAUGGGGUUCAUGUGCAACGACAAGUCCCCUCUUACCUGCGACGACGCCGACAAGUACUUCUUCUGGGACUCGUUCCAUCCAACCGAGAAGAUCAACCGCUUCUUCGCCAAAGGGACGACGGCGGUGAGCUUGAGCUUGUUGAGGUAG